CCUACGGGAGGCAGCAGUGAGGAAUAUUGGUCAAUGGGCGCGAGCCUGAACCAGCCAAGUCGCGUGAGGGAAGACGGCCCUAUGGAUUGUAAACCUCUUUUGUCGGGGAGCAAACGACGCCACGCGUGGCGUUCCGAGAGUACCCGAAGAAAAAGCAUAGGCUAACUCCGUGCCAGCAGCCCCGGUAAUACGGAGGAUGCGAGGGUUAUCCGGAUUUAUUGGGUUUAAAGGGUGCGCAGGCGGGAUAUCAAGUCAGCGGUAAAAUUGAGGGGCUCAACCUCUUCGAGCCGUUGAAACUGGUUGUCUUGAGUGAGCGAGAAGUAUGCGGAAUGCGUGGUGUAGCGGUGAAAUGCAUAGAUAUCACGCAGAACGCCGAUUGCGAAGGCAGCAUACCGGCGCUCAACUGACGCUCAUGCACGAAAGUGUGGGGAUCGAACAGGAUUAGAUACCCUUGUAGUC
rnacentral:rRNA from 1 species